rnacentral:rRNA from 1 species
AGAUUGAACGCUGGCGGCAGGCCUAACACAUGCAAGUCGAGCGGCAGCACGGGUACUUGUACCUGGUGGCGAGCGGCGGACGGGUGAGUAAUGCCUAGGAAUCUGCCUGGUAGUGGGGGAUAACGCUCGGAAACGGACGCUAAUACCGCAUACGUCCUACGGGAGAAAGGCAGGGGACCUUCGGGCCUUGCGCUAUCAGAUGAGCCUAGGUCGGAUUAGCUAGGUUGGUGAGGUAAUGGCUCACCAAGGCGACGAUCCGUAACUGGUCUGAGAGGAUGAUCAGUCACACUGGAACUGAGACACGGUCCAGACUCCGUACGGGAGCAGCAGGUGGGAAUAUGGAACAAGUGGGACGAAAGCCUGACUCCAGCCAGUCGCCGCGUGU